UACAGAGGAUGCAAGCGUUAUCCGGAAUGAUUGGGCGUAAAGCGUCUGUAGGUGGCUUUUUAAGUCCGCCGUCAAAUCCCAGGGCUCAACUCUGGACAGGCGGUGGAAACUACCAAGCUGGAGUACGGUAGGGGCAGAGGGAAUUUCCGGUGGAGCGGUGAAAUGCGUAGAGAUCGGAAGGAACACCAGUGGCGAAGGCGGCUACCUGGCCUGAUACUGACACUGAAGCACGAAAGCGUGGGGAGCAAACAGG
rnacentral:rRNA from 1 species